rnacentral:rRNA from 1 species
UACGUAGGGAGCAAGCGUUGUUCGGAUUUACUGGGCGUAAAGGGCGCGUAGGCGGCGCGGUAAGUCACUUGUGAAAUCUCUGAGCUUAACUCGGAACGGUCAAGUGAUACUGCAGUGCUAGAGUGCGGAAGGGGCAAUCGGAAUUCUUGGUGUAGCGGUGAAAUGCGUAGAUAUCAAGAGGAACACCUGAGGUGGAGGCGGGUUGCUGGGCCGACACUGGCGCUGAGUGCGCGAAAGCCAGGGGAGCAAACAGG